CUGUGUGCAGUGUCCUACUCAGAAAGGUGGUGAUCGCUUAGACUGCAUGUAGUUGGUACCUUCCUGGGUGGACUGAUGCUCAACAG
rfam:Equus caballus chromosome X, whole genome shotgun sequence.